GUAAGGAUGCCAGAGUGGUAUGGGGUUGGUUUAGGACUAGCUUACGAUUUGUACAGGAUCUCUUUACU
rnacentral:tRNA from 1 species